UACGUAGGGUGCAAGCGUUGUCCAGAAUUAUUGGGCGUAAAGAGCUCGUAGGCGGUCUGUUGCGUCGGCUGUGAAAACCCGAGGCUCAACCUCGGGCCUGCAGCCGAUACGGGCAGACUAGAGUUCGGCAGGGGAGACUGGAAUUCCUGGUGUAGCGGUGAAAUGCGCAGAUAUCAGGAGGAACACCGGUGGCGAAGGCGGGUCUCUGGGCCGAUACUGACGCUGAGGAGCGAAAGCGUGGGGAGCGAACAGG
rnacentral:rRNA from 1 species